ACCCCCAGGCCAUGGCCCUGGUGCAACCAGAGCAGUCACCAGCCAUCUGUGGGCCAGGUCCCUCCACCAUAAGGAGUGGCAACAUGGUUCUGACCUCUCUAUGCCCAUCUCACAGUGUGUUCCAUGUUCCAGAGCCCAUGACUCCCCCCAAGGUCUUCCCACUGAACCUCCCAUGGUGCCAGUCCGGAGAACCUGUGAUCCUCGGCUGCCUGAUCAAGGAUUUCUUCCCCCCGGGACCUGUGAGCGUGACCUGGAGCAAGCCUGGGGAACAAGUAGACUUCCCACCUUCCUUGACUAAGGAGGGGAACCGGUACAUCAUGAGCAGCCAGCUGAGCCUGGAAGCCAAGUUCCCAGAGGACACGAACGUCACAUGCACUGUGCAACAUGCCACAAAUGACCCCAUAGUAGUAGAAGUGUCAAGCUCAGCAGAAACUCCACCAACACCACCACCAGAUUGUUCAUGCUGCCAGCCCAGCCUGUCACUGCAGGGGCCAGGCCUUGAGGACCUGCUCCUAGGCUCUGAAGCCUACCUAACAUGCACAUUGAGUGGCCUGAAGAACAACCAGGAAGCCACCUUCUCCUGGGAGCCCACGGGUGGGAAUACCGCCACACAGAACCCUGUUGAUCCUGACUCCUGUGGCUGCUACCGUGUGUUCAGUGUGCUGCCUGGCUGUGUCGAACUCUGGAACAGUGGGCAGACCUUCACCUGCACGGCCACCCACCCUGACUUCAAAGGCACCAAGACCGCCACCAUCAAAAAGCCCGAAGAGAACUUCCGGCCCCAGGUCCAUCUCCUGCCGCCGCCGUCGCAAGAGCUGGAUCUGAAUGAGCUGGUGUCACUGACAUGUCUGGUGCGGGGCUUCAGCCCUAAGGACGUGCUGGUUCGCUGGCUGCAUGGGAGCCAAGAGCUGCCCCGCAGCAGCUACCUGGUGUGGGAUCCACUGAAGGAGCCCAACGAGGGUCCCACCACCUAUGCUGUGACCAGUGUGCUGCGGGUGACAGCCACGGACUGGAAGCAGGGGGACAACUUCUCUUGCACGGUGGGCCACCAGUCCCUGCCCCUGCUCUUCACCCAGAAGACCAUUGACCACCACUCGGGUAAACCCACCCAUGUCAACGUGUCUGUGAUCAUGUCGGAGGCAGAUGGCACUUGCUAUUGAGCCUCCCUGCCCACCCUGCCCUUUCAAUAAACACCAUGCUCACCCACUACAGCCCACACUUCCAUCUG